rnacentral:ncRNA from 1 species
UUAAUUGUUACGAAGGGAAAAGUAAAAAUUAUAACCUUACCAGAGAGUGGAGAAUGGUGGAAUCUUCAUAAGAAGUAUAGUUUUGAAAGACAUCCUGGAACUUGUUAUCUGAAUAUAAGUAGGAUAUCACGCUUAAUCACCGUUAAAUGAUCCAAGAGAACUAUUUUAUGGAAUAGUUAAUAAGAAUGGUACCGUGGAUAUUUUAUCUCACUUCUUAA